rnacentral:rRNA from 1 species
CAGCAGUGGGGAAUAUUGGACAAUGGGGGCAACCCUGACGGAGCGACGCCGCGUGUGGGAAGAAGGCCUGCGGGUUGUAAAGCCCUUUGGCAGGGAGGAAAGCUCGAAAGUUAAUACCUUUCAGUGUUGACGUUACCUGCAGAAGAAGCCCCGGCUAACUCUGUG